AAUUACACAGUAGGAUACAGAGGAUAUAUCCUGCCUCUCAGUGUGUGGAAGAGCUGAUAGAGCAAUCUUAUGUUCAGAGAUGUGAUAUACCUGUAACUAUAAAUUGUGUUCUAGGUGGAAAGAACUAAUUUGAGAAGUACAACAAGAAUGGGAAAACCGGUGCUGGAAUAAUAACAGAGACCCAUACAAGCGGAGGGAGGUGAUAAUCAUGCCUCUCCAGAGUUUUUUUCAAAGGUUGCAGAAAAUUGCCUAAAGAAAAAGGCGCAGCUUUGUUAUUUGAUGAAGUACAGACCGGAGGAGGCGCCACAGGAAAGUUCUGGUGCACACGGAACAUUUUGACCUGGAAUUCUCUCCAGACUUUGUUACCUUCAGCAAAAAAGAUGACCAUUGGAGGUUUCUACCACACUGCAGAAAUCAUGCCUAAGAUUCCGUGACCGUGUUCUGAACACCCUGGAUGGGUUGACCCAGGUCGACUGCU